AGCCCUAAGAUCUGUGAUGCUGGUAGCUGCAAGGCGUUUCGUUGCAAAGACAACAGCGAGUGCCGCAAAAACUUGAAUUGUGUGUCUGGCUUCUGUCUGUAUCGGGAUGGAGGGUUGCACGAAGACGACAUAUUUCGCAAUAUAGGGAGACCUUGCAAAAUCAGCCCCGAUUGCUACUACGAUAUGGUUUGCCAAAAUGGAUCUUGCCAGCGCAAUCCAAAGUCAUGAAUUGGAAUCGACUGCGGCGUCAAGGCUACAUGCGUUUCAAUGACGACGAUGGAGAUACUUCCAAGGAACGCUACGAUCCUGUAAUCUCAGAAUAAAGAAAAUACCUUACAACCUUA